rnacentral:rRNA from 1 species
AUUGAACGCUGGCGGCAGGCUUAACACAUGCAAGUCGAGCGGAGCGAGGGUGCUUGCACCUUAGCUUAGCGGCGGACGGGUGAGUAAUGCUUAGGAAUCUGCCUAUUAGUGGGGGACAACAUUCCGAAAGGAAUGCUAAUACCGCAUACGUCCUACGGGGGAAAGCGGGGGAUCUUCGGACCUUGCGCUAACAGAUGAGCCUAAGUCGGAUUAGCUAGUUGGUGGGGUAAAGGCCUACCAAGGCGACGAUCUGUAGCGGGUCUGAGAGGAUGAUCCGCCACACUGGGACUGAGACACGGCCCAGACUCCUACGGGAGGCAGCAGUGGGGAACAUUGGACAAUGGGCGGAAGCCUGAUCCAGCCAUGCCGCGUGUGUGAAGAAGGCCUUAUGGUUGUAAAGCACUUUAAGCGAGGAGGAGGCUACUUUAGUUAAUACCUAGAGAUAGUGGACGUUACUCGCAGAAUAAGCACCGGCUAACUCUGUGCCAGCCGCCGCGGUAACAC